rnacentral:lncRNA from 1 species
UCGUGUUUGUCGUUUUUAUCGUGUUAUAUAUGAUUAAAUACGAAUUAAAUAAAAUAAUAGUUAUGUAACAUUAUCUUUGUCGUGUUGUCAUUUUUUAAUAAGUUCGUUUUCAUGUUAAUGAAAAAAAAACACGACAUCGUGUCGUGUCGUGUUCGUGUUACAAAAAACUUUGUCGUGUCAGACAAAAACACGAUACGACGGCCUGAUUUGACACACCUAACACUGGCUUUCUUGCACUUUUACAUUUUGAUAUCAAAGUUUCCAUGGUGGAUUGUCUUAGGGUCUUCACUGAACAUUUGUAUAAUAAAACCUCCAUCAAUGCUUGUUUUGAACUUUUUUUCUUAAUUAGAAGACCUUAUACGUACAUUAAUUUGUUUCAUUAAGAAUUACCUCAGAUUGCAAAAUUUGGAUAAGGACCAAUUAGUGUUGAUCCAAUGACCUGAAGUAGAACUCCACAAAGUCAGUAGGUUCAUAUUUUUCCAGUAACUUACCUUUUUUUAAUCACUAUAAACAUAACCACUUCUAUAGGAAGAAAACAAUGGACAACUAUUGACUCAUAUAACAAAUAUUCAGAACAAAAAUGACAUCCAUCCAAUACAGUCAUAUUAAUUGGUUAUGAAAUGAUAAGUUAUAGGUGAACUAUUAUGACAAAAUGGAAGAAGUGGCCUAAGCAUUUCAUCGAAUAACUGGUGGGCAGAACUUUAACCCUAUAGUGAACAUGUUACUCUUAUCGACAAAACAUCCGGCUGUCAUAAAUGAAAUGAAUAUCAUAUCAUGGUGUAAUAUUGAGGAUACUCGCACCCCUUAAGAACUUCACAUUCCUGAAAACAUAGAGAAUCGAUCAUUCAGUUCAAAUUUAGUUCGAUUAAAGUCAUUGGAUAUGCAGAGAGUUAUACACAUGUACAUACCUGGAACAAUAUGUCACCAUUUCCUAUCAGAAGAUAUAUAAAUCAAACAAUUUACUUAAGAAACUCCAAACCAAAGACAUUAAUACGAGAACGGAUGGAAAGACCAACAAACAUAUACAGUAUGUGAUAAUAGUAAAAAAAAGGCAACAAAACUCCAAAAAAAGACAACAAAACAUCGAAUUCCACAAUUUCACUUAGAACGGAUGGAAAGACUCAGACAACGGCGAUCAAACACCGAUAUGGCUGCAAACACCGGUUGCAUAUUCCGGUCGGAUAUGCCUUCCGAGUUGCUCUGCUCAAAAACAAUGAUGGAUCUGAAUUUUUUUCGGAGAUAAAACUCAUCAUCGCCUCAAUCUUGCUAUAGAACAAUCAAAAUCGGAACCCAUCAAUGGAGUCACAAAUCAAAUACAUCAUCGCCUGGUAAAGAAUAAUCAAAAUCGGAACCCAUCAAAGGAAGCAAUCAAAAUCGGAAGACAUCAAAGUAUACAAUAUUUUGGUUAAUUGAUUUUGGCUACAUACCGAAGAAACCAAAAUCCUGAGAAACAAAGAACGAUGGAAGAAGGAAUUAGAAAAUAAGAGAAAGAGGAAGCGAGAUACAAACAUGAAGCAGUCAAUUGCUGAUGCAGACCUAGAAUUAAAGACGUGUGUCCCCAUUGACGGACGAAGACAGACGAAGAAUGAAAGGAAACACAAC